rnacentral:rRNA from 1 species
CCUACGGGGGACAGCAGUGAGGAAUAUUGGUCAAUGGCCGGGAGGCUGAACCAGCCAAGUCGCGUGAGGGAAGACGGCCCUACGGGUUGUAAACCUCUUUUGUCAGGGAGCAAGGUGCAGGUCGGGACCUGCUGUGAGAGUACCUGAAGAAAAAGCAUCGGCUAACUCCGUGCCAGCAGCCGCGGUAAUACGGAGGAUGCGAGCGUUAUCCGGAUUUAUUGGGUUUAAAGGGUGCGCAGGCGGAGGCACAAGGCAGCGGUAAAAUCGCGGGGCUCAACCCCGCUCCGCCGUUGAAACUGUGUGCCUUGAGUGCGCGAAGGGUAGGCGGAAUGCGUGGUGUAGCGGUGAAAUGCAUAGAUAUCACGCAGAACUCCGAUCGCGAAGGCAGCCUACCGGCGCGCAACUGACGCUCAUGCACGAAAGCGUGGGUAUCGAACAGGAUUAGAUACCCUGGUAGUC